CCGCCAUUUUGGGGGCGCUAUCUGCCCUCGUGAAAGAUUUUAGACAAUUUAAACAACGUGAAAAGCGACUUUCAAAAGUUGCAACUGCAAAUGUAUUAUCGUACUAAAAAUAAUACUAAAAAGUUGCAUUUCGUGGUACGGAGACUCUCAAAUGUGGAAGUGGCAGUACCCCCAAAAUAUGGCGGAAAAAUCGGCCGCGAGAAAGGCUAAUUAUCAAUAUUCUGAACUUCCAACCUGAACCAACGUACACCUAGCCUAGACCAUAGCGUAUCGAAGGGAAGAUGGCUGUGAAACUCAUUAGAAUAACAAUAUAACUCAUUAUCCGUGUUAGUCAACGUUUAUUCAUAAAUCUGGAUGGUCAUUCACCGUCACAGUAUACAAUUCAUGCGCAUUCACGAUACACAAUACACAAUUGUGUUUUUGCCAACUAACCAAUAGCAAUGUUUUAGGAACGGCUUAUUAAAUUAAGUUUAGACAUUAGAAAUGUGUAGAAAUGCAAGUAAUAAUUAUUUAAUUUCUUUUUAUUGUUUACAGAAAUGCAAGUAAUAAUUAUUUAAUUUCUUUUUAUUGUUAAUAGAAAUGGAAACAGUUAUCUUUGUGUGUUCAUUAAAAUUAACUGCGCAUGCUUAAUUAAAGUUAUUGGAAUAAUUGGCAACAAGACAUAUAUAGAGGCAAUCAUGUAAACAAUAAUUUUUGUAAUUAACCAUUAGGGAGAAUAUGUUACUGUAAUUGGUGUUGCCCCCGUUAAAUAAAGUUUAUUGUAUUGUAUUGUAUUUUUAAAACUGCAUUUUAUAAUUCGUUCAUAUAGUUUCACAUGCUGGUCAUAUUCAGCAAAUUUUAUCCCAGUACCACAGACUCGUAUUUUCAUCGGAUUUGUUGUGAAAAAUUGAAACUUUUGCAUUUUGCACAAACUUCCCACUUUCCGUAAGAUGUCCGCUGACAAUACGAGCCCGCACGAGUGGGAGAAAUUUUACUAAAUUUGACCAACGUGUCAUGGCACUAUAAGCGUACCGAUCCUAUCCGGAGGCUCAUUCUAAUUUUUGCCCAAAUUUGUAUGGAGAAUUGUGAUGAAAUACCCUGAAUUUAACAUAUUUUAUGAUACAUUUGUCAAAAAUUUGUCGAUUUUCUUGAUUUUUAUUUCAUUUGCUUUCUUUAGUUUUGGGGGCGGGGGCAAUCGGCCUGCCCCCCUGUCUCGUUAGAGGAGGGCAAUUUCCCCCGCCCCGUACGCUUAUAUGAAUUGCACAAAUUAAAUGCUCUAUGAACAUUUAAUUAUAACAGAAUUUCAAUUUAUUAACGUUGCUAUAUUUGUUUACUAUAUUUAAUCGUUAUCGUGCACAAUUUAACAAUGUAAGUUGUAAUGCAGUGAUUUAAUUAAAAAAUGCUUCUUUAACCAACAUGUUGUCAGCCUUGCAACAACAAGACAGUAUAAUUAUGGUUUUUGCGCCAGGAUAUGUCAGUUUAGUUCUACACAAAAGACCCAUUAGACCAUCUAGACCCAUUUGUGCAGUUCUUUUAAAACACAAAUGUGUUUUGAAACCCAAAAAUAUAACAUUAAAACAGUCUUCUCAUUUACUCGUUUUCCUCGUGAUCGAUGCUCCAAAAAAUGCCAGAAAUUGAAUAUUCAUGAUUUCCA